rnacentral:rRNA from 1 species
UGGGGAAUUUUGGACAAUGGGGGCAACCCUGAUUCAGCAAUGCCGCGUGCAGGACGAAGGCCUUCGGGUUGUAAACUGCUUUUGUACGGGGAGAAAAGUUCUGGGUUAAUACCCUGGGAUGAUGACGGUACCGGGAGAAGAAGCACCGGCUAACUCUGUGCCAGCAGCCGCGGUAAUACAGAGGGUGCAAGCGUUGUUCGGAAUUAUUGGGCGUAAAGCGCGUGUAGGCUGCUCAGCCAGUCAGAUGUGAAAGCCCUCGGCUCAACCGAGGAAGUGCGUCUGAAACUACUGAGCUUGAGUACUGGAGAGGGUAGCGGAAUUCCGCAAGUAGAGGUGAAAUUCGUAGAGAUGCGGAGGAACACCGGUGGCGAAGGCGGCUACCUGGACGGUAACUGACGCUGAGACGCGAAAGCGUGGGGAGCAAACA